GCCUCCAUAGCUCAGCGGCAGAGCGGUGGUUUUGUAAACCACAGGCCGAGGGUUCAAAUCCCUCUGGAGGCU
rnacentral:tRNA from 1 species